rnacentral:rRNA from 1 species
AUACGUAGGGUGCAAGCGUUAAUCGGAAUUACUGGGCGUAAAGCGUGCGCAGGCGGUUUUGUAAGACAGUGGUGAAAUCCCCGGGCUCGACCUGGGAACUGCCCUUGUGACUGCAAGGCUGGAGUGCGGCAGAGGGGGAUGGAAUUCCGCGUGUAGCAGGGAAAUGCGUAGAUAUGCGGAGGAACACCGAUGGCGAAGGCAAUCCCCUGGGCCUGCACUGACGCUCAUGCACGAAAGCGUGGGGAGCAAACAGGAUUAGAUACCCUGGUAGUCCACGCCCUAAACGAUGUCAACUGGUUGUUGGGGAUUUAUUUUCUCAGUAACGAAGCUAACGCGUGAAGUUGACCGCCUGGGGAGUACGGCCGCAAGGUUAAAACUCAAAUGAAUUGACGGGG